UACGUAGGGGGCAAGCGUUGUCCGGAUUUAUUGGGCGUAAAGAGCGUGUAGGCGGUUUGGUAGGUCCGUUGUGAAAACUCGAGGCUCAACCUCGAGACGCCGGCGGAAACCAUCAGGCUAGAGUCCGGAAGAGGAGAGUGGAAUUCCUGGUGUAGCGGUGAAAUGCGCAGAUAUCUGGAGGAACACCGGUGGCGAAGGCGGCAUCCUGGACCAACACUGACGCUGAUGAGCGAAAGCCAGGGGAGCAAACGGG
rnacentral:rRNA from 1 species